ACCGCUUAUCGCUCAUACCAAUUGAAUAAUCCGGUGCAAUAUUUGGAUCAUGGCAACAUAGGCGGUUCGCUGCUCGGGACAUCGCAAGAAGUCCAUUGAGCCUUAUAAUUUAGUGGAAGAAGAAGUUGUAAUAAGGUUUUUUUAGGUAAAUCUGCAGAAUGAUUAUUGUCGAAACCUGUAUAGUAGAACAACCCAUAAAUGGUUUUAGUAAAUGGUAAGUCAGUAGGGGCAGGAUGAUUCAGCCAUACUCACUAGUCCCUCCCCAUCAUCCCUAGCAUGCAUGAAUUGAGAAUAGCCCAACCUAAGAAUUGGGCUACUCCAUCAUCCAAUUGUAGUCUGGAUAAGCGUCCUUAGUAGCAGAUUAGGCCCAAGUCCCCAGAGAGUCAAAGUGUACUUUAAAUUAUUGAGAGUAAAGGAGAUAGGGACCGGAUAUAUACCUUGGUUGGAUGUUGAAAGAUGAUGAGCUAGUUCGUCGAUCGAUUGGCGCAUUGACCAUCAUAGAUUAGGGGCGUCUAAAGCCCAGGCUCUUAAUAUGCUCAUGGAAUGGCAUCUCUUCGCAUAUGAUAGGCAACAUAUUCCUCUAUCGUGCUUCGGCAUCUGUGUGCUCCUGAUACUGGCCUGUGGGAUCCCUAUUUAACCUAUCUUGAAACACAUACCAAGGAGUCUGACAUGCGUAAGAGUCAAAGAGCAUGUAAAUUCAUAAGGCAUAAGGAAGUUUAUUGGUGGGAUCCCCCUGAGGGGUGCACUGGAGAUCGACCUUGUUCUUUUGAGAAGAGUUCGAGUGUGAGAAUACCCAUAGAGACCCAAAAGAGGGUGAAUUAUGCCUAAAAGGGACGAAGACAGAGGAAACACUAAUGGAGACCUGUAGCAUUACUGACAUGCAAAUAAUUCAUCUGACAUAAGCAUAGGGGUGAAAGACUAAUUGAAUUAUCUUGUAGCUGGUUCCCUCUGAAGUUUCCCCCAGGAUAGUUGGAUCUCGCAAGCAAGUUCUAUCGUGUAAAGCCAAUAAUUAAAGUCGUUGGAGGCGUAACGCCUUAGACAUAAUCUUAAACUUUAAUGAGGUAGGACGGCGCAACUGCUUUGUUCAGCCACGCCAUAAAAUCCAGAGCUCCAAGUGGGCCAUUUUUGUUAAGAAAAACUAUCAAUGUGGGAUAAACUAAAAGCCAGGUUACGGUGUGAAACUGUGCACUAACCUAGACCCUAAAAAGGGUGUUGGUCAAUUAAGACAGUAGGACAGUGGUCAUAGAAGUCAAAAUUGGCUAUGAAAUGUGUAACAACUCACCUGUCGAAUCAACUAUCCCUCAAAAUGAAUAACACUUAAGCACGCGACCUACCCCAGCCAUCGAGGCAAGUGACAGUCCCUGAUGAGUAGGAUGGCGCGACGAUCGCUGCAAAACUUUGGGCGCGAUCCCAAGCGAUGCGACCGUCGGUGUAGAUCUUGGUAGUAUUAGUUAAUAUUCAAAUGAGAACUUUGAAGGAUAAAAAAUGGAAAGGUUCCAUGUGAACAGCAUUAUAACAUGGUUUAGUCGAUCUAUGGUUUGGGGAACCCCAACAGAUAGGGUAUUUUACGCAUACACUAAAAGAGAAUCAGGUUAAAAUUCUUGAACCAGGACAUGGCGGUCAAUGACAAUGUUAGAACGUCCAGAGACAUCGAUAGGAGCCAAGGGAAGAGUUAUCUUUUCUUAUUAACAUCCUGCCCACCCUGGAAUCGGCUCAGCCAGAGGUAGGGUCUAACGGCUGGAAAAGCAUCGUACGUCCCAUGGUGUCCGAUGUGCUCCCCGAGUCCCUUGAAAAUAUGGACCACUGAAUGUCGUGCAUGCCCGGUUGUACUCAUAACUGCAUAAGGUCUUCGAGGAAAACAACCUCUAGUCGAUGGAAUAACGUAGGCAAAGGAAGUCCAAUAAAUAGAUCCAUAACUUUGAGAAAAGGAUUUGCUCUAAGUACUGGGCAUAGGGGUCCUAUUCCUAAAAUAGUUGACUAUUGGCGAACUUUUUAAGCUGCUUCAAUGAUGAGAUUGGGUUGCCAUGUCACUUCGGGGGGAUGGACUUGGAACAGCUGCUUUUAGGGACUUCCCCGUGCAUUGAACAACUAACUCAUAAUUGGUACUGACAAGGGGAAUCUAACUGUUUAAUUAAAACAAGGAAGAACUGGCACUGUUGCUGGGCCAAUCUGAUUAAUGGUCCAUGAAAUUUUUUACCAUAUGCGAGGCCAUAAAGUUGCUGGUGCGAGACCAAGGAAGGUAAUUGCAUAUCCGCAGACAGAUAAUAGUGCAACGAUGUGCUGUGGUUGCAUCUGGGCAGUCUCACAAAGUUAGUUCCAAAGUCAUAAUUCCUAUUCCCAAACCUUUUGAUAGUUCUAGAAAUGGUGAGGAAUUGAAGAAUUUUCUGUUGGGUAUAGAGUAGUAUUUCUUUACUACCCGAGUUACUGAAACGGAUAAGUUAAACAUCACCACGAUGUACUUGAUGGGUGAUGCAAAAUUAUGGUAAGGACUCAGAAUACGGAUGAUGAAAGUGCUGGACGUCCCAAAAUUGAUACUUGGGAAAAGUUGAAGAAGGAAAUAAGGGACUAAUUCCUUCCUAGCAAUGCCUGAUGGAUUGCUAGAGACAAGUUAAAAAGGCUAAGCCAACAUGGAACAAUUCAUAAAAAUAUCAAAGAUUGUACUUCUUUGAUGUUGGACAUCCAAAAUAUGUCUGGUGAAGACAAGUUACACAACUUUAUCUAAGGAAUGAAGGCAUGGGACCAUAACAAACUAAGCAGGCAGAAUGUGAAAGACUUGCCUGGAGCAAUUGUUACUGCUGACUCAUUGGUGGAUUUUGGAAGAACUCAUUCUUAUUCUUACAUUCCCACUUCAAGCAGGCAGAAUGUGAAAGAC
rnacentral:rRNA from 1 species